UGCAACUGCAUGACCAGCGGGGUCGCACACCACAAGACUGGGCUGAGCAGGGUGGGGCCAAGCAGAACUGGGAGGUGAGCAGUAGCCCUGGUGGGAGUGAGGCAUCAGGGCCGGCACCCAUCAGGCCUCACCCUACGUGCCCUCCUCCAGUUGCUGGAGUUGUUGCAGCUCUGCCGGGCCCACAUAUCAGCGUUCGUGCAUGACGGUGAGUUGCCACCCAUGGCAUCUCUGGACCGGUUGCAGGCCAGAUUUGGGAACAGCCCGCCUGGCUCCCUGUCCUCCCUGAGGCUGAUGCAGGCAGACAGGACGCUGAGGCUAGCACAGAUCAGGAGAGCCUCCCAAGUCCCGGCCUUGGGGUUUGGUCAGCCUCCUGUGGAUGGGUCACAAAAUGACUGUGCAGCAGCCGAAGGCCCCUGGAACCCAGACAGAUGUGCUACUGGCUGACCUUCAGCACUGCAGGCAGCAGAAGGGCUACCCCUGGGGAGGCCCAGGCCCAGGGCUUCCCCCGCCCCCUGAACUAUACCCAUGGCUGCCACUUCAGCUGAUCUGCGGUGACAUGCCCACCACCACCUCAGACCUCUACAGCUUCUGCAUCCUGACCCAGGAGGUCUUCACUGAGAAACUGUACAUCAAGUGGCUCACAGAGCCAAGACCACACCCAGGCCUGUGGCCCCUGUGAUGUCCCCAGGCCCCAUCCCAUGCCAGGCCUGAGACUCCUGAGGUCAGAGACCACAGCAGGAUCCCAAGGGGUGCAGCCUGGAGCUUGGGCAGCAGCUUGACUCUAGGCAGCAGCCCUGGGUCUGGCCACAGCCCCACAGCCAGGGUCAGCCUGCACUGCUGCCUGGAGCCCAGCUCAACAGUACAGAUACCCCCAGAGCCCUGCACAACUGUCCCACUGCUAACCUGUGACCCCCUCCGCCCGCCCUCCAGGAGUCACCAACCCCAAGUUCCCUGGCUGCCUCUCCUUUGACCAGGGAACUUUAGGGUCGCCCAACUGUCCCCUCACUCACCUAUGACCCUUAACCAACCCUGCUUCCCCCAGGGCCCUUCCCUGCACUCCAACUCCAGCCUCUAGGACUCAGCCUCCCUGCUGGGGACCCAGAGCUCUGCGGAACAGUUUGAGGAAGCUCUCAGCCAAGAUUCCAGCCCUGCAGGGGCUGCUGCAGCGCACACAC
rnacentral:lncRNA from 1 species